rnacentral:rRNA from 1 species
UACUCUUCGGGGUUGUAGGACUGCAAUGUGGACUCAAAGAUUAUAGAAGAAUGAUUUGGGAAGAUCAGCCAAAGAGAGUAAUAGCCUCGUAUUUAAAAUAGUCUUUGUACCUAGCAGUAUCCUGAGUACGGCGGGACACGUGAAAUCCCGUCGGAAUCUGGGAGGACCAUCUCCCAACCCUAAAUACUCCCUAGUGACCGAUAGUGAACCAGUACCGUGAGGGAAAGGUGAAAAGCACCCCGGGAGGGGAGUGAAAUAGAACCUGAAACCGUGUGCCUACAACAAGUUCGAGCCCGUUAAUGGGUGAGAGCGUGCCUUUUGUAGAAUGAACCGGCGAGUUACGUUAUGAUGCGAGGUUAAGUUGAAGAGACGGAGCCGUAGGGAAACCGAGUCUGAAUAGGGCGCCUUAGUAUCAUGACGUAGACCCGAAACCAUGUGACCUACCCAUGAGCAGGUUGAAGGUGCGGUAAGACGCACUGGAGGACCGAACCAGGGCACGUUGAAAAGUGCUUGGAUGACUUGUGGGUAGCGGAGAAAUUCCAAACGAACUUGGAGAUAGCUGGUUCUCUCCGAAAUAGCUUUAGGGCUAGCGUCGACAUUAGAGAUUCUUGGAGGUAGAGCACUGUUUGGGUGAGGGGUCCAUCCCGGAUUACCAAUCUCAGAUAAACUCCGAAUGCCAAUGAAUUAUGGUCGGCAGUCAGACUGCGAGUGCUAAGAUCCGUAGUCGAAAGGGAAACAGCCCAGACCACCAGCUAAGGUCCCAAAAUAAUUGUUAAGUGGAAAAGGAUGUGGGGUUGCACAGACAACUAGGAUGUUAGCUUAGAAGCAGCUAUUCAUUCAAAGAGUGCGUAAUAGCUCACUAGUCGAGUGACCCUGCGCCGAAAAUGUACCGGGGCUAAAACAAUUUACCGAAGCUGUGGAUACCUUUAUAGGUAUGGUAGGAGAGCGUUCUAUGUGUGAUGAAGGUAUACCGUGAGGAGUGCUGGAACGCAUAGAAGUGAGAAUGCCGGUAUGAGUAGCGAAAGACAGGUGAGAAUCCUGUCCACCGUAAGACUAAGGUUUCCAGGGGAAGGCUCGUCCGCCCUGGGUUAGUCGGGACCUAAGGAGAGACCGAAAGGUGUAUCCGAUGGACAACAGGUUGAUAUUCCUGUACUAGAGUAUGUAGUGAUGGAGGGACGCAGUAGGCUAACUAAAGCAGACGAUUGGAAGAGUCUGUCUAAGCAGUGAGGUGUGAAUUGAGUCAAAUGCUUAAUUCUAUAACAUUGAGCUGUGAUGGGGAGCGAAGUUUAGUAGCGAAGUUAGUGACGUCACACUGCCAAGAAAAGCUUCUAGCGUUUAAACAUACUCUACCCGUACCGCAAACCGACACAGGUAGUCGAGGCGAGUAGCCUCAGGUGAGCGAGAGAACUCUCGUUAAGGAACUCGGCAAAAUGACCCCGUAACUUCGGGAGAAGGGGUGCUGACUUAAAGUCAGCCGCAGUGAAUAGGCCCAAGCAACUGUUUAUCAAAAACACAGCUCUCUGCUAAAUCGUAAGAUGAUGUAUAGGGGGUGACGCCUGCCCGGUGCUGGAAGGUUAAGAGGAGUGCUUAGCGUAAGCGAAGGUAUGAAUUGAAGCCCCAGUAAACGGCGGCCGUAACUAUAACGGUCCUAAGGUAGCGAAAUUCCUUGUCGGGUAAGUUCCGACCCGCACGAAAGGCGUAAUGAUUUGGGCACUGUCUCA